rnacentral:ncRNA from 1 species
CCCCGCCCACUUAAUAAACAAUUUAUAUAGAAAUAGAUUAUAUAUUUAUAUAGAGAUUUAUAUAGAAACAGCGAUCCGUUAAAAUCGCUAUUUUUCUGUAUGAAUUGUUUAUUAAGUGGGCGGGAUUUAGAAUUGAGGGGCGGAGCUUCUUCUUAACUUCUUCCUCGAGGUUU